AUUCUCAACAGAGAGAAAAUGGUAGAUAUUUUGGCUGGUCCUGACGCCUACCGGGACCUUCCCCGGCUGCUGGCUGUUGCUGAGUCGGGUCAGCAAGCUGCCAACGUGCUGCUCUCUCUGGACGAGACCUAUGCUGAUGUCAUGCCAGUCCAGACAAGCGCCAGUGCCACGUCUGCCUUUGUGUCGAUCAUGCGAGGCUGUGACAACAUGUGUAGCUACUGCAUUGUUCCUUUCACCCGGGGCAGGGAGAGGAGUCGGCCUAUUGCCUCCAUUCUAGAGGAAGUGAAGAAGCUUUCUGAGCAGGGGCUGAAAGAAGUGACACUUCUUGGUCAGAAUGUUAAUAGUUUUUGGGACAAUUCAGAGGUCCAGUUCAACAAUGCAGUACCUACCAAUCUCAGUCGUGGCUUUACCACCAACUAUAAAACCAAGCAAGGAGGACUUCGUUUUGCUCAUCUUCUGGAUCAGGUCUCCAGAGUAGAUCCUGAAAUGAGGAUCCGCUUUACCUCUCCCCACCCCAAGGAUUUUCCCGAUGAGGUUCUCUGCAGGACCACUCUGAGGGACUCUUCUGCAUAUUGCUGACCUGAGAGGAUGGCCUCAGAGCUGACUUGGGCAGUCCUCCCCAACAGGAAGGGGAGACAUUGCCGGCCACUGAGGAAAGAGGUCAUGAAGGUGGAGAUAAGCUGCAAGGCGCGAAGCAACUUUGUGUCAGUGGAAAACGUGUCUCUUUAAAGCUGCUAUGUGAACAGCUUUUACAGUCAUUAAAUUUACCUAAACUAA
rnacentral:sRNA from 1 species